CGCGCGCCGCCGAUGCAGUUCUCGGGCAAGUUCGAUGCGGGCUUCACGGAGUCUCAGAUGCUCGAGCACAUGGCGCGCCUUUCGUCCAUGAACAAGGCCUACAAGUCCUUCAUCGGGAUGGGGUACUACAACACCCAUAUCCCGGCGGUCAUCCUGCGCAACCUCAUGGAGAACCCCGCGUGGUACACCCAGUACACGCCCUACCAGGCGGAGAUCGCGCAGGGCCGUCUCGAGUCGCUGCUCAAUUACCAGACCAUGGUCGCCGACCUCACCGGCCUGCCCAUGUCCAACGCCUCUCUGCUUGACGAGGCCACCGCCGCCGCCGAGGCCAUGGCCAUGUGCAAUGGAAUCCUAAAGUCCAAGAAGAAGACCUUCCUCAUCGCGUCCAACUGCCACCCGCAGACCAUCGACAUCUGCCAGACGCGCGCCGCCGGGUUCGACCUCAACGUCGUAGUCUCGGCCGCCAAGGACUUCGACUACAGCAGCGGCGACGUAU
rnacentral:lncRNA from 1 species